rnacentral:rRNA from 1 species
UAAAGGGUAUUGCCUUAGUACGGCGAGUGAAGCGGCAAAAGCUCAAAUUUGAAAUCUGGCACCUUCGGUGUCCGAGUUGUAAUUUGAAGAAGGUAACUUUGGAGUUGGCUCUUGUCUAUGUUCCUUGGAACAGGACGUCACAGAGGGUGAGAAUCCCGUGCGAUGAGAUGCCCAAUUCUAUGUAAAGUGCUUUCGAAGAGUCGAGUUGUUUGGGAAUGCAGCUCUAAGUGGGUGGUAAAUUCCAUCUAAAGCUAAAUAUUGGCGAGAGACCGAUAGCGAACAAGUACAGUGAUGGAAAGAUGAAAAGAACUUUGAAAAGAGAGUGAAAAAGUACGUGAAAUUGUUGAAAGGGAAGGGCUUGAGAUCAGACUUGGUAUUUUGCGAUCCUUUCCUUCUUGGUUGGGUUCCUCGCAGCUUACUGGGCCAGCAUCGGUUUGGAUGGUAGGAUAAUGACUAAGGAAUGUGGCUCUACUUCGGUGGAGUGUUAUAGCCUUGGUUGAUACUGCCUGUCUAGACCGAGGACUGCGUCUUUGACUAGGAUGCUGGCAUAAUGAUCUUAAGCCACCCGUCUUGAAACAACGGACCA